CACAAAAUGGCGGCCGCUAGCUGGCGGUCACGUGCGCAUCGCGGUAGGGCGGGUAGCGCUAGGUGGGGGUCGUGCUGCGCCCGGGUAUUUGUGUCGUGAGUUUACCUACGUUUGUUCUCCCGGGUAACAGCGAUAGGAUGAGAGGUAACGGCCUCAAGUUGCACCGGGUUCAGGUUGCGUAUGAGGAGAAAUUUCUUCUCAGGAAGAGUGAUGAUGUCUUGAAACUAUCAUUAGAGAGUACUGUGGCCUCGAAGUGUGUGCCCUUAUCUCUGCUGCCUAACUCCUGGCUGUAUUGCUCUGUGUUCUGACAGGAAUGUCACUGGUCUGCUUCCUCGGCACCCUGCUGAUAACGCUUGUAAGCUCAGAGAACGCUUUAUUGCCUUUCCCGAAGAGCCGCUUGUUGAAAGUGAAAUUUGUUACCGG
ensembl:lncRNA